rnacentral:tRNA from 1 species
GGGGAUGUAGCUCAGAGGGAGAGCACCUGCCUUGCAAGCAGGGGGCCGGCGGUUCGAAUCCGCUCAUCUCCACCA